GGCCGGCUAGCUCAGUUGGUUAGAGUAUGGUGCUAAUAACGCCAAGGUCAUGGGUUAAAGCCCAUGCUGGCCA